UGACGUUACUGUGACGUUACCAAUGACUGAGCCGAGGCUGCUAUGAGUGGUGGCUAGGCCAUGCACGUCUUUACUUGCUCAGCACCUACCUACCUACCACCUACCUAUACCUAACCUAACCUACCAAGUUUUUUUUACAUCCGACUAUGUCGCCAAAAGUAAAUUGUCAAAGGCUAUAAUAAUUGUCGUACAAUUAACUAACCCUCAAUAUCUGCCUCCACAAUAUACUCAGCUAUAGCUCGGGCAAAACAAAGUGGAGGUUGACCACCUUGUAUCUUCCAACAAUGUAGUAUUUGGGUACGACAUUGCUCGGCCAACCAACAAACAAACCAGAUGUGGUGAAAGAUUCUUUCAUUAGUAGCCGAAAAAAUUCUCUACGGGGUCCACCGUCAUCGACACUUUCUUCGAUGACACUUUCUUCACCAAUGAAUCUUAUCUUGAGCAUUUUCGAAACAUUAAAGUGCGGCUUAGCAAAAGCAUCUCCAAAAAGAUUUCUACGACGUAUAUUCACUCGCUGAAAAUCCUCACCAAAAAGCACUUUCUUCUGAUGUUGCAAGAUGAUAUGCUUUCCAACAAUGACGUCGAGAGCUUUCUCAUGUCGACCCUGAAUAAUUCAAUGCGAGGACAGUUGUAGUUGUAAUGAACGUUGCAUGAACGUUGCAUGAUUGAACUCGCACAUACAAAUACCAUUUUUGCGUCAAUGAAUCGCAUUGUCAACUAACCGCAUACCUCCGUAUACUUGCCUAGCCUCAUGCAGUAACGUAACCAUCUUGCAAGCGAAUAAACUUAGUUGGGACAGGACAAUCUACAGGACAAUCAACAUAGCUGGAAGACCGUUCAGAGAGGCAGUGAGGCUAUGAGGAGCUGGAGAUGAGGAGACUGAUGGUGGUGAGAGUGGUACUGUGGUGACUGGUUGGCUUGGGGACCGAGGACAGGGAGUGCUCCACCUCUGUUGCCUCGUCUACCCUCUGCUUCAUGAACACUACCCCGGCAGUGUACUCUGAAGUGGUGGCCCCCGAUCAGUUUCCUGAAGUGAGGAAUCAAGAAGUCGUAGGUUGGUACAAUGGUCCCCUCUGCUACCAGUUGGGCUGUGUUGCAUCUGGAACCAUCACUGCUAAAACACUUCUGUUUGGACAUGUACCUGCCAGACUUGUUGACAACAUCUACGACAGCCAAUGUCAGUCCUCGCCUCUUAAAAAGUCCGAAACUCCAGUCAUCUACGAUGUUUUGGAGACAGCCAAUGUCAGUCCUCGCCUCUUAAAAAGUCCGAAACUCCAGUCAGGAGCGAACUUCAUGUGUCCGACCACUAAUGUGUCCGACCACUAAAAAGCUGAGUGUGAUCUGUGUGUGUCUGCCAGUCAUCACUCUCCAAAGAAGACUCAUCAAUUAAGAAGAACACCUGGCGUGGAAAAGCCUCGUUCUGGAGACCAAAAAGGGCAGGACCAGGUUGGAGAGGGUUGGACGGAUAGUGGACCUGUGGACAAAACAAAAAUAAAGUUAGGAGGAACACAGCAGUUCAGUGGAGGAGUUCAGUGGAGGAGCAGUAAGAAUACCUAAUGCUUCUUCACAGACUCCUUACAUUGCUUGGUGUACUACAAGUGAUCCAGUGCUGACGACUUCUCUAUGUCACUGUUUGUGGCUCCAGCGCUGUGUUGCUGGCUGGACGUGCCAGCACAGGUCGGACAUGGGUUUCAUCACCACAACUGCAGGAAGGAGACCUGCAGA